CCUACGGGUGGCAGCAGUGAGGAAUAUUGGUCAAUGGACGAGAGUCUGAACCAGCCAAGUAGCGUGAAGGAUGACUGCCCUAUGGGUUGUAAACUUCUUUUAUAUGGGAAUAAAAUGUUCCACGUGUGGGAUUUUGUAUGUACCAUAUGAAUAAGGAUCGGCUAACACCGUGCCAGCAGCCGCGGUAAUACGGAGGAUCCGAGCGUUAUCCGGAUUUAUUGGGUGUAAAGGGAGCGUAGGUGGAUUGUUAAGUGAGUUGUGAAAGUUUGCGGCUCAACCGGAAAAUUGCAGUUGAAACUGGCAGUCGUGAGUACAGUAGAGGUGGGCGGAAUUCGUGGUGUAGCGGUGAAAUGCUUAGAUAUCACGAAGAACUCCGAUUGCGAAGGCAGCUCACUGGACUGCAACUGACACUGAGGCUCGAAAGUGUGGGUAUCAAACAGGAUUAGAUACCCCAGUAGUC
rnacentral:rRNA from 1 species